rnacentral:rRNA from 1 species
UACAGAGGGUGCAAGCGUUGUUCGGAAUUAUUGGGCGUAAAGGGCGCGUAGGCGGUUCGGCAAGUCUCUAGUGAAAUCUCUGGGCUCAACUCAGAGUCUGCUGGGGAAACUGCCGGGCUUGAGUGUGGGAGAGGAGAGUGGAAUUCCCGGUGUAGCGGUGAAAUGCAUAGAUAUCGGGAGGAACACCUGUGGCGAAAGCGGCUCUCUGGACCACAACUGACGCUGAGGCGCGAAAGCUAGGGGAGCAAACAGG